rnacentral:rRNA from 1 species
UACGUAGGGGGCAAGCGUUGUCCGGAAUUAUUGGGCGUAAAGAGCGUGUAGGCGGUCCGGUAAGUCAGCUGUGAAAGUCAAGGGCUCAACCCUUGAAUGCCGGUUGAUACUGUCGGGCUAGAGUCCGGAAGAGGCGAGUGGAAUUCCCGGUGUAGCGGUGAAAUGCGCAGAUAUCGGGAGGAACACCUAUGGCGAAGGCAGCUCGCUGGGACGGUACUGACGCUGAGACGCGAAAGCGUGGGGAGCAAACAGG